AUUGAACGCUGGCGGCAUGCCUUACACAUGCAAGUCGAACGGUAACGGGCCUUCGGGUGCCGACGAGUGGCGAACGGGUGAGUAAUGUAUCGGAACGUACCUUUCAGUGGGGGAUAACGUAGCGAAAGUUACGCUAAUACCGCAUAUUCUGUGAGCAGGAAAGCAGGGGAUCGCAAGACCUUGCACUGAUUGAGGGGCCGAUAACAGAUUCGCCAGUUGGUGAGGUAAAGGCUCACCAAGGAGACGAUCUGUAGCGGGUCUGAGAGGAUGAUCCGCCACACUGGAACUGAGACACGGCCCCGCCUCCUACGGGAGGCAGCAGUGGGGAAUUUUGGACAAUGGGCGCAACCCUGAUCCAGCCAUGCCGCGUGAGUGAAGAAGGCCUUCGGGUUGUAAAGCUCUUUCGGCCGGGAAGAAAUCGUAUCAGCUAAUACCUGGUGCGGAUGACGGUACCGGCAUAAGAAGCACCGGCUAACUACGUGCCAGCCGCCGCGGUAAGAC
rnacentral:rRNA from 1 species